UCUCUCUCUCUCUCUCUCUCUCUCUCUCUCUCUCUCUCUCUCUCUAGGAAAACCCAACCCUCACAUGCCUCUCCAAGGAUUCUCUACAUCCUGGUCCCAAACAGUUCAGGCUACUUGAAAAACUGACUUGGCAAACUUUCCGGAAAAGUGGUAGAAGUGAUGUCCUCCUGACCCAGGAAAUUCCAGCGGGAAGUGUCAAAAGGACAGGACUGUCGAAGGAGCUGGAGGAAGUCGGUGCUCGUGUGGUGUGAGACAGAACUAGGCUACUGAAUGACAUCAGCUGAAAGGAACAGCUGAUGGCAGCAGGCACCAAGACCUCAAGCCAGCAAGUGAGGUCAUCUUAGAUAAUCCUGUCCCAGUCACUCCAGAAGACAUCGGCCUCAUGAGCUGGGUGGAGACUUAGGUGAGCCGCAAGUAGAGAACCAUAGCAAACACACGGUUGUUCUAAGAGAGGACCCUGCAUAUGCUAGUACUGCAUGUAGGCUGAAUGAGUGAUGUUAUUGGCUGCCAAGCUCAAGCAGAAAGGCUCAAAACGGGUUACACAUUAGAAUUAAGGCAAGUGACAGCCCAUUGCCCUGGAGGAAUACAGCAAACAGGACAAGGGUUAUUGGUUGCAGCAACAGAAAACUGGCCAACAUCAUCCUGUACGCCAUGACUCCUCCCUCAGAUGAGGAAUGUUGGGAAUGGGUCCAAAAGUUCAGUGUAGAAGUCCGUGCUCGACCAAUUCCUCCCACGUCGAAAUGUUACAAGGCCGAUGAAAUGAACUAUCUACAUAUCUUGCUUGGGACAACGGCUGGUAGAGUGUGAAAGGUCUAUGAGCACUGGUUAUGUGGCUUUCUGAUUGUCCUUGUGACAGGCUCUGUAGUUCAGGCUAGCUUGGAACUUGUGACAAUUCUACUCUAGCUUCCAGAAUGCUGAGAUUACAGACAUGAGCCAGGAAUCCUUGCUGGUCGUAUGUCUCAACAAAGAUGGAAUACAACUUAGUAAUAUGCCUUUAAUUUCAUUGAGUCGUUGAGGUGGCAAUGGCUGAUUCUUGGGGUUUCUCUCCACAAGUCCUUGGGUUACUGAGACAAGUUUUGUCCUGACCCCUAUCUACAGUGUCCUCCUGCCCAGGACACUG